UGCCCCAUGGCUGAGUUGGUUACAGCGUCCGACUGUUAUGCGUCACACUGGCACAUUUGAAAAUAGCAAUCGGAAGGUCGUGAGUUCGAGCCUCACUGGGGCAG